rnacentral:sRNA from 1 species
GGAUGUAAGGGCCAUCUGUGACACCCGUCACCCUGUUGAUGGCCAGGGUUGGUUGGCUGACCUGGCUGGGUAGGUGGGUGUCCCUUUCUUCCCUCACUGCUCCCGGUGCGUCCCUGGGGUCUUAGUUGACCGUGGGGACACCCUGGGGAUGAGCUGUCCCACCAGUCAGUAACUCAUAGCACUGUAUUUGCAAGUCAGAACAUAGGGAGGGACCGAAAGGUUGGUUGAGAAGAGGAAAAAUAAGAUGAAGUUGUUCUGUCGAAAUACUCAGUAUGACUUGAUUU